AGAGUUUGAUCCUGGCUCAGAACGAACGCUGGCGGCGUGCCUAACACAUGCAAGUCCAACGUGAAAGGGGAGCAAUCCCCCGGUAGGGUGGCAAACGGGUGAGUAAUACAUGGGUGAUCUACCUUAGGGAUGGGGAUAUCCUUCCGAAAGGAGGGGCAAUACCGAAUAUUGUCCGGAGCCGUGAAGGGUUCCGGGGAAAGGGAGGCCUCUGAUACAAGCUUUCGCCUUAAGAUGAGCCCAUGGCCCAUCAGCUAGUUGGUAGGGUAAAGGCCUACCAAGGCUACGACGGGUCGCUGGUCUGAGAGGACGACCAGCCACACUGGCACUGAGAUACGGGCCAGACUCCUACGGGAGGCCGCAGUGAGGAAUAUUGCGCAAUGGGGGAAACCCUGACGCAGCAACGCCGCGUGUGGGAAGAAGGCCUUCGGGUCGUAAACCACUUUUGCACGGGACGAAAAAGGGAUAUCGAACAAAUAUCCCCGAUGACGGUACCGUGAGAAUAAGCCACGGCUAACUCUGUGCCAGCAGCCGCGGUAAGACAGAGGUGGCAAGCGUUGUUCGGAAUUACUGGGCGUAAAGAGUCUGUAGGUGGUUUGCCAAGUCUUUGGUGAAAGGCCGUAACUUAACUAUUGGGAAUGCCAAAGAGACUGGCAGGCUGGAGGCUGGG
rnacentral:rRNA from 1 species